CAGCCGCCGCGGGAAUACGUAGGGUGCGAGCGUUAAUCGGAAUUACUGGGCGUAAAGCGUGCGCAGGCGGUUAUGCAAGACAGAGGUGAAAUCCCCGGGCUCAACCUGGGAAUUGCCUUUGUGACUGCAUAGCUAGAGUGCGGCAGAGGGGGAUGGAAUUCCGCGUGUAGCAGUGAAAUGCGUAGAUAUGCGGAGGAACACCGAUGGCGAAGGCAAUCCCCCGGGCCUGCACUGACGCUCAUGCACGAAAGCGUGGGGAGCAAACAGGAUUAGAUACCCGCGUAGUCCCUGUCUCUUAUAC
rnacentral:rRNA from 1 species